CUUUACUGCAGCUUUGCAGUGGCGCCAGGAAUUGGAUGUGUAGGAUAGGUGGGAGGCUUUGAAGCCGGGGCGCCAGCUCUGGUGGAGCCACCGUUGAAAUACCACCCUUUCGGUUUUUGGCGUCUAACCGCGCCGGGUCAUCCCCGGCCGGGACCCUGCAUGGCGGGCAGUUUGACUGGGGCGGUCGCCUCCCAAAGUGUAACGGAGGCGCGCGAAGGUGGGCUCAGGCUGGUCGGAAAUCAGCCGCUGAGUGCAAUGGCAAAAGCCUGCCUGACUGCGAGACUGACAAGUCGAGCAGAGACGAAAGUCGGUCAUAGUGAUCCGGUGGUCCCGCGUGGAAGGGCCAUCGCUCAACGGAUAAAAGGUA
rnacentral:rRNA from 1 species